rnacentral:lncRNA from 1 species
UUCAGUUGAUAUAGAUCCUUUUGGAAAUUAUUCUGCAAACAUAAUAUUAUUCUUCUCUUCAGGAGAUAACGUAGCUGGACCUAAAACUUUAUUUUACGGAAUUGUCUCAUGAACUAUUUCUCAUAAUGUAUAGAAAGAGCCACCAACUUACUUGUGCAUCAAAUUAAGUGAUGGAAAAUUCUCGUCAUUUGACUUCAGAUAUUUCUUUAUGAAAGUUUCAACCAUAGUCUUCCUCUCUUCUUUUGAAUUCCUAAUCUUAGUAUUUCGGCCACCAGAGUCAUUAUCAGUAGCAAGGGCAAUGUUUGCCCG